rnacentral:lncRNA from 1 species
UUUGUGUUUUAAAAUUCCAUUAAUUGGCUAUGUAGCUGCUUUUUCCGAGCCCCGUGCCAAGCGCAGUAAAAUCACAGUCCGGCUGGAGUUAUUUUCAUCAUGCAAAUUCCCAUUUCUGUAAACAGGGUUAAAGCCCAGAAAGGGCCGGGCUGAACGUGUCCUCAGACUGGGAGGUGUCAGACUCCGAUCCUCUCAUUGCCCCCGCAAGUAUAUCCGGAGGAUUCCUCCAAUCGCUCUCUCCUGGAAGACCACUCCCAGCACCCUACUAGCAUCCCCACUUCCAGCCCCUGCCUGGAGAGGAAGAUGAGGGGGUCCCUGCUGGGACCUUGCCAGCCCCUGUACCAGACAUGGGAGCCUUUGCCCUGCUCUGCCCAGACAGCCUCUGUGGGCUCAGGGAGCCAAAGCAGGGAUCCACUCACAAGGAUUCAGCAGAGCCCAGAUUCUGAAGCUGGAAGGAGAGAUGGAGACAUUGAGGCUCCAGGAGAGGAAGCCACUGCCCCAGGAGCCUAGAUCUAGGAAAGGUGGGGGAACUCCAUCUCCAAACUUGGCAUGGUCUCAGCGUUGUCGGAGGACUUUUGAGGGAAGGAGGAGGAGGAGAAGGACGACGACGACGACGACAACGACGACGACAACGCAGGGGCCCAGGUGCUCCUGCUGCCCCAAGGAGCCCGGCGGCAGGAGGCAUGGACGUGGGGGCUGUCGGGCUGGCCCGAGUGCUCUGGCGAGCAGGCCUCGGGGUGGGAAGACUUCUCGCUGCUGCCCCUGAGAGGGCCCCGUCUUGGUUCCCACCAGAAGACCCCCAAGGCCAGGCCUCAGGCCUCCCCUUCAAGACUGACAGUCUCCCAGGGCCUGUGACAGCCAAGCCCCACGACGCUGUGGCCUCUCAUUGCCCACAACUGCACCAAGAGUUCAGCUCUCAGAGGUGGCCAGGUGCCCCCUGCUAGGGGGCCCUCCCACGGCCCUAGUGCCCGGAACAGUCCCUUUCUCCAAAAUAAAUAUUUUUGUUAGACCAGCAACAGCUGUGGCACUUUCUGCAGUCCCCAAAGAGAAGACAGGCACAACCCCAGGCACCCUCAGAUGCCUUAGUUCAGUUCAUCUUCACAGCAGCCUGAAAG